rnacentral:lncRNA from 1 species
UAUAUCUUAAAAUACACCACUGACUCAUUAGUAAGGAGAAGCGUGCUUACUAAAAUUGAGUGUAUCCUUUGUGUCUCUGGAGUGGUCUGAAAUCACAUGCAGAAAAAUCCACAGUGCUCAUGCCGUAUGAGCUUGUGGACUUUAUAAAAUCUGCAACAAAGAAUCUCUAUGGUGAUGGCUACAGGCUGACACCAUCAGCCAGGGAACCCAACUCCCUUGAAGAGGGAAGAGCAGAACAUAACAAGGGGGGCAGGAGCCCGGACUCUGGUGCCCUCUGGCUGUGUCUGAUCCUAGCUCUGCAGCCACUUGGCUGUGAGACCUCCGGAAACUCUCCGCCUGUUGCCUGGUCUCCUCGUCUGUAAAAUGAGAAUAAUGAUCCUGUCCACAGCCUAAGACUGCUGUGAAGUUCCGUGACAAUCUCGUCGAGGUCCUAGGAGAGGCCCCUACACGGAGUCAUUGCUCUGUAGGUGUCGGCUGUCACUGGUGCAGGGGCCUCCACUCCCCGCCCCCAGAGCAGGGGCGUCCUCCUCUCACCUUCUCCACCUGUUAAGGGAGGGGGCUGGUGGAUCUGAUGGCUGAGACCCAGCUAUCUUUGGGGCCAUGUCUUUACCAAUGGAGGGAAUUUAUGCAAAGAGUGGACGCUGUCUGUCCUACAUGUCUGGAGCCGUCCCCAGCCUUCCUUGGAGUCAGCGAUGGCCAACAUGCAGACCAACAUGGAGAGCCGAGUCACAUGUUAAAGAUGGCAGAACUCUGACACAAAAGGCAUUUGGGUCUCUGAGUAACUGUGGGGAAGGCAGCCUGGAGCCCACAAUCUGAGAAAGAGAUUUUAUUAGCUUCUAAAAUAACAAGAACUUGCUGAACCAAUCCAGUGCUGUUUUGGCCCACAAUCAGGAAAGACCUUUAAUCCUUCCCUUUUCCAUCCGUAAGAGGAGUCAUAGAUCCUUUCCUGCUCCUAUACGCAGGGUCAGGCCCUGAGGUGUCCUCUGAAGGGAGAGGAAUAUUUAAUUCAGUGCCUGUGUGUUGCUGGCACCUGUGUUGAAGGGGGAAGCUGCCAACUUCUGUGCUAUUCUCCCAUUCAGUUUUGGUCACAGCUGUGGAGGGACAUUCUUGGUCCAAUAGCAGCUUCUCUCAAGAGCCCACGGUGCUCUUCCAUUUCCCAUCCCCUGUGUAUCCUUGACAUUCCUGACAUUGGUGGGAGACCAUUCAUCAAGCAGGUAUGCUGUGUUAGUCAGCUUUCCAUUACUGUAACAAAAUAACUGAGGUCAUUAACUUACAAAGAGGAAAGGUGUAUUUUGGUUUACUUUUAGUUUGGGAGAUUUCAGCCCAUGAUCCAAUGGACCCAUUGCUUUUGGGUCUGUGGUGAGGCAGCUCAUCAUGGCAGGAGGACACGGCAGAGCAAACUUGUUCACCCCAUGGUGGUGAAGUGAAAAAUAGAAAUAGAGACUUGGUCCCAUGAUCUCUGUUGAGAAUAUGCUCCCAGUGACCUAAAACCUGCCAUUAGGCCCCUACUUCCUAAAGACCACAACUGAGAGCACCCCCAAUUCCUAAAGUCCCUACUACCUCCCAAGAGCACCACCUGGGGAAAAAGCCACGAGCACGUAGGCCUUUGGGGACCAUUUGACAUUCAACCGUGCACAUGGCUGUCCUGGAGGUGGAUGCUCCCCUCCACCAGGGGCGGUGGGAGUGAGUGGAUGCACACUUGCUGAUGGGCUGGGGUGGAAAUUCGAAGAGCCCAGAUGCACAGAGCAGGGAACUCGAUUAUGUGCCCAGUGUGGGUUUCUCCUGCUCCCUCCCAUCACCUGCUUCUCUCUGCUGCUUCUGGAGAUCUGCCCACGAACAGGCUGCCCACACCCCAGACUUGCAUUUGGAGAGAAUUCAAGUGAAGACAGGCGGGGACAGCACGUCCUCACUCUGGCCUCCUAUCUAAACCUUGUCUCAAGUUCAAAUGGACCUCGUCCUUUGGCAAUCCUUGAGGACUUCAAUAAAGUGGGUUGCUUGCUUCUGUUUGCAGUUCCUCGUGUUUCUUCCCCAUCGCUUAGACUCUGGUGGAGAUGGAUGGCAAGUUUGUAUGCCUCAUAAUCUCUAACAGAUCUUACACCCAAGAAAACCCAACGAUCACAGCCAAGAGCACCCCGUAAAGAGUUCUAACUCAGUGGUAUUUACUUCAUUUGAAGGAUUUUUGCUAUACACUAUAAGUGAACCCAAAGAGGUAUUCAAAUGCAUUAAGACACCUCAUUGGACUUGAGAAUAUGACAUCUUGACAUGCUAAUAGGCCAGAGUACCUCAUCUCCCUCAGGUCUUUGCAAGAUGGCGGCACGGUGUCCCACUGUGCCAGAGAGGUGCUUGUCAAUCUAGGUGCUCAGGGUCCAUAUGGUGUAUGUGGGAGUUUGUUCCUUCAUUAAAAAAUCCUCUUUUGUAAUUAAUUGGAAUAAGAAGUGAACCUUUACCCCAUUAUUGUCUGUCAUGUGCCUCUUGCCAAUUAGCAUGGUUGCACUUCACAGCUUAAUUUAGUAUCAGUUGUGAAACUUGAAGAAAGAUUGCACCAUCUUUGAAUAUUAAUGCGAUUUUGUUUCCCCAGGGCAUUAAGCUUUCUGACACGCUGGACUCUCUCCACUUGGUAGAGAGUUUUU